rnacentral:rRNA from 1 species
UACGAAGGGGGCUAGCGUUGUUCGGAAUCACUGGGCGUAAAGGGCGCGUAGGCGGCCGUUCAAGUCGGGGGUGAAAGCCUGUGGCUCAACCACAGAAUUGCCUUCGAUACUGUUCGGCUCGAGACAGGAAGAGGUUGGUGGAACUGCGAGUGUAGAGGUGAAAUUCGUAGAUAUUCGCAAGAACGCCAGUGGCGAAGGCGGCCAACUGGUCCGGUUCUGACGCUGAGGCGCGAAAGCGUGGGGAGCAAACAGG